CGGAACGUAGCUCAGAGGAAAGAGCAAUCUUUUCAUUCUUCUAUGUACUGAAUUGAUGUCGCAGGUUCAAGUCCUGCCGUUCCGA
rnacentral:tRNA from 1 species